AUUGCACGCUGGCGGCAGGCCUAACACAUGCAAGUCGAGCGAGCGGCGGACGGGUGAGUAAUGUCUGGGAAACUGCCUGAAGGAGGGGGGUAACUACUGGGAACGGUAGCUAAUACCGGAUACCAUCAGAUGUUCCCAGAAGGGGAUAGCUAGUGGGUGGGGUAACGGCUAACCUAGGCGACGAUCCCUAGCUGGUCUGAGAGGAUGACCAGCCACACUGGAACUGAGACACGGUCCAGACGCCUACGGGAGGCAGCAGUGGGGAAUAUUGCACAAUGGGCGCAAGCCGGAUGCAGCCAUGCCGCGUGUGUGAAGAAGGCCUUCGGGUGGUAAAGCACUUUCAGCGGGGAGGCGUUACCCGCAGAAGAAGCACCGGCUAACUCCGUGCCAGCAGCCGCGGUAAUAC
rnacentral:rRNA from 1 species